rnacentral:rRNA from 1 species
AACGCUGGCGGCGUGCUUAACACAUGCAAGUCGAACGGGAUGAAGAGAGAAGCUUGCUUCAUUCUUCAUUUAGUGGCAAACGGGUGAGUAACACGUAAACAACCUGCCUUCAGGAUGGGGACAACAGACGGAAACGACUGCUAAUACCGAAUACGCUCCAAGAGCCGCAUGGUUUUUGGAGGAAAGGGUGGCCUCUACUAGUAAGCUAUCGCCUGAAGAGGGGUUUGCGACUGAUUAGGCAGUUGGUGAGGUAACGGCCCACCAAACCGACGAUCAGUAGCCGGUCUGAGAGGAUGAACGGCCACACUGGAACUGAGACACGGUCCAGACUCCUACGGGAGGCAGCAGUGGGGAAUCUUCCGCAAUGGACGAAAGUCUGACGGAGCAACGCCGCGUGAGUGAAGACGGCCUUCGGGUUGUAAAGCUCUGUGAUCCGGGACGAAAGGGCAGGAUGUCAAUACCAUCUUGAACUGACGGUACCGGAAAAGCAAGCCACGGCUAGCUACGUGCCAGCAGCCGCGGUAAUACGUAGGUGGCAAGCGUUGUCCGGAAUUAUUGGGCGUAAAGCGCGCGCAGGCGGCCCCUUAAGUCCCUCUUAAAAGAGCGGGGCUUAACCCCGUUAUGGGAAGGAAACUGGGGGGCUGGAGUAUCGGAGAGGAAAGUGGAAUUCCUAGUGUAGCGGUGAAAUGCGUAGAGAUUAGGAAGAACACCGGUGGCGAAGGCGACUUUCUGGACGACAACUGACGCUGAGGCGCGAAAGCGUGGGGAGCAAACAGGAUUAGAUACCCUGGUAGUCCACGCCGUAAACGAUGGA